UACGGAGGGUGCAAGCGUUGUCCGGAAUUAUUGGGCGUAAAGAGCGAGCAGGCGGUUUGGAAAGUUGGACGUGAAAUUUUAGGGCUUAACCCUAAAGGGUCGUCCAAAACUCCCAGACUAGAGUGCAGGAGAGGAAAGCGGAAUUCCCGGUGUAGUGGUGAAAUGCGUAGAUAUCGGGAGGAACACCAGAGGCGAAGGCGGCUUUCUGGCCUGUAACUGACGCUGAGGCGCGAAGGCUGGGGUAGCGAACAGG
rnacentral:rRNA from 1 species